UACGGAGGAUGCAAGCGUUAUCCGGAUUUAUUGGGUUUAAAGGGUGCGCAGGUUGUUUGAUAAGUCAGUGGUGAAAGUCUGUCGCUUAACGGUAGGAUUGCCAUUGAUACUGUUGGACUUGAAUAUGGAUGAGGUAGGCGGAAUGUGUAGUGUAGCGGUGAAAUGCAUAGAUAUUACACAGAACACCGAUUGCGAAGGCAGCUUACUAAUCCAUCAUUGACGCUUAGGCACGAAAGCGUGGGGAUCAAACAGGA
rnacentral:rRNA from 1 species